AAAAAUCCUCCACCAGGAACAGAGAACACCAUUGCUCCUGGAAAGGUGAAGUGUCAAUCUGCACGGGUGCUCUGUAUCUUCUGUGUGGCUUAUGAAACAGGUGGGCAGAGUGAUGGAUGGACUCAUGCAUCAGCAUUAUCCCUGAGGUGAGUCACGGGAUCUACCAAAUGGCCUUUAUUUCUCAUCAGAGAAAGAAGAGAUAGACCC
rnacentral:lncRNA from 1 species